ACGGGAGGCAGCAGUGGGGAAUAUUGCACAAUGGGCGCAAGCCUGAUGCAGCGAUGCCGCGUGAGGGAAGAAGGUUUUCGGUACGUAAAGCCCUAUCAGCAGGGAAGAUAAUGACGGUACCUGACUAAGAAGCUCCGGCUAAAUACGUGCCAGCAGCCGCGGUAAUACGUAUGGAGCAAGCGUUAUCCGGAUUUACUGGGUGUAAAGGGAGCGCAGGCGGUUUUGUAAGUUGGGUGUGAAAACCCGGGGCUCAACCCCGGGACUGCACCCAAAACUGCAGGACUAGAGUGUCGGAGGGGCAAGCGGAAUUCCUAGUGUAGCGGUGAAAUGCGUAGAUAUUAGGAGGAACACCGGUGGCGAAGGCGGCUUGCUGGACGAUAACUGACGCUGAGGCUCGAAAGCGUGGGUAGCAAACAGGAUUAGAUACCCUGGUA
rnacentral:rRNA from 1 species